GACGGAGGAUGCAAGCGUUAUCCGGAAUGAUUGGGCGUAAAGCGUCCGCAGGUGGCAGUUCAAGUCUGCUGUCAAAGACCGGGGCUUAACUUCGGAAAGGCAGUGGAAACUGAACAGCUAGAGUAUGGUAGGGGCAGAGGGAAUUCCUGGUGUAGCGGUGAAAUGCGUAGAGAUCGGCAGGAACACCCAGGGGGAAACCAGCCGACUGGGCACAUGCUGACGCUGAGGUGCGAGAGCGUGGGGAGCGAACCGG
rnacentral:rRNA from 1 species